UACGAACCGUGCGAACGUUGUUCGGAAUCACUGGGCUUAAAGGGCGCGUAGGCGGGCAAGCAAGUCCGGGGUGAAAGCCCCCAGCUCAACUGGGGAAGUGCCUUGGAAACUGCUUGUCUUGAGGGAGGUAGGGGCCUGUGGAACUUCGGGUGGAGCGGUGAAAUGCGUUGAUAUCCGAAGGAACGCCGGUGGCGAAAGCGACGGGCUGGACCUCUUCUGACGCUGAGGCGCGAAAGCCAGGGGAGCAAACGGG
rnacentral:rRNA from 1 species